UACGAAGGUGGCAAGCGUUAUCCGGAAUUACUGGGCGUAAAGCGCACGCAGGUGGCUAUAUAAGAUAGGCGUGAAAGCUUGUGGCUUAACCGGAAGAGGUCGUUUAUUACUGGAUAGCUUGAGUCGAGGAGAGGGGUGCAGAAUUCCCGGUGUAGUGGUGGAAUGCGUAGAGAUCGGGAGGAAUACCAGUGGCGAAAGCGGCACCCUGGCCUUAGUCUGACGCUCAGGUGCGAAAGCGUGGGGAGCAAACGGG
rnacentral:rRNA from 1 species